rnacentral:lncRNA from 1 species
AGGUCGUGGUGACGCGGUCGGGAGCGCACGGUACUGCUGGCUUCUAUCCCUCGUGGUCCCACUUCACCGCCUCCUUUUACGGCCACCUGUCCUUCCAGGGGGUCUUUCUUGGAGCACCGUCACCUGGAGUCACCUGUAGAUUGAGGUGUGCAUGGCAACCCCCCCGGCUCGCUGCGGGUGCUGGAAAAGGGAGGCGGGCCAAGGCCUCCGGCCCUAGAAAGUUGAGCAAGACCUGGCAACCUUCCCACAGAGGUGAUCAAUAAGUGCUUGUGGAAAGAACAAAUGAAUGGAUGGAUGGAGGAGGAGUCAGAAGGAGCACUCAGGAUGCCUUCCAGCUUUUCCAUGUGGGAGCAAGAAGUGAUGGUGAUCCUGGAGGAAGAGUCAACAUUCGCUCUUUUGAGUUUAUUUAGAAGACAGAGCUGCAUCAAGCCUCUGGGGCACACUGGCUACCCGUCUGCAGGCAAAGAUCCAGUCCCUUCUUAACAGCUGCUCAAGCACACAUCUGCUGAUGGACUGAAUGAAUGAUCAAGGGAAUAAGUGACUGAUGAUGUGAAAAUACACAGCACAGAGACGUAAACACAAAUGCCAACAAGAGUCACGAUGGUUAAGGUUCAUGAGCAGGUGGAAGGCAGGUGGCACUCAUAAGUUGGAAAAUGCAAGAAAACAGAUUCUCCCCAAAGCCUCCAGAAGCAACACAGUCUUGCUGACUCACUUUGGACUUCUGACCUCCAGAACUAUAAGAAUAAUACAUCUCUACAAUUUGUAAUUUGUAGUUUGUUACAGCACAAGUUUGGAAACUAAAAAAGUGACUGAGAGGAUGGAUAAGAAAGUAUUUGGAUGACUCUUAAUAUACUGGAUCCUCUAUUUCUUGACAUACUCAUCAUCAACUCAACUGGUGCUUCCAGAGGCGGACAUGUGUUUCUCUAUCGAACUCCUUCCUCCACCAUGUGCAGCAAUCAUUUAAUUUCAAAGCUCUCCCCACUCUCACCACACCUCUUACCUCCUCUUCCUACCUGGCUAUCAGCAGUUGAUCUGCCUCCUGAAAUCAGUCGGAAUGAAGUCAACGAGUUGGAUUGGAAACUUCAUUGAAUGAAGGAGAGUUUCCAGGAGGUUACGACAAAGAUGGAGAAAGAUGUCUUACGAAAAGAACACUCAACAGAGCUGCAAAAUGAUGAACGUGGCAUUUGGACUGGACUCUGCAGGACUGGGGAAACAGAGAAGUUGGCUGAACUGAGGGGUUCUGGCAGAUGAGCCAUUCCAGCUCCUCCUUCUGUAGAUGAGCCCCCUGAAGCCCAGAGAGGAAGAGUGAUUUGCUGAAGGUCACCCAUCAUGUCCAGCGCGCUUCAUACGAAGCAGAACAACCUCCCUUCUCUCCCUCCUUCGGCCACGAUGGGAGGGAGACUUGGCAUUGCCUCAGACCCUCCCCCAAAGAUUCUGCUUCUUUUUGCUGCUGGAAUCAGAAGGAUGAGCCAGUGAUGUUUGACAGUGAGCACGGAUUGCUAUUUUUAAUUGAAAUGAGCAAUACAUAAGAAGAAGGAAAGACCUCCAGAGUGUAACUGCCAAAAUAAGGAUCACCCUACUGGGAUGCUGUGUCCAUAUUCCACUCACUCAGCUCAGAGUGUUUGGAUUCUCCUGGGAAUGGCCUUCAGUGGCAGUUAACAGCAUGAGAAAUUUGCUCUUAUUCUUGUUUUUAUCCUUUAAAAUUACCUUUACAAAAAUGUUAAUAGGAAGCAGCAUUGCCCACGUUGGUCCUUGCCUGAUGGACCAUCCCUGACUCUGAAUAUGCUUUUACUCCUUUAAAAAAUCAUGGAGUUCCCAUUGUGGUGCAGCGGAAACGAAUCUGACUAGGCACCAUGAAGUUGCGGGUUUGAUCCCUGGCCUCGCUCAGUAGGUUAAGGAUCUGGCGUUGCUGUGAGCUGUGGUGUGGGUCGCAGAUGCGGCUUGGAUCUGGCAUUGCUGUGGCUCUGGCGUGGGCCGGCGGCUGCUGCUCCGAUUCGACCCCUGGCCUGGGAACCUCCAUAUGCCAUGGGUGUGGCCCUAAAAAGGACAAAAGACCCCCCCAAAAAAAAUCUGCCUCCAGCCCCCGCCCCCCUGCCCCUGCCUGGAAGGCAAACAUGCUAUCACUGGAGAUAUUGUGGGGACACACUCAGGCUCUUGGGCCUCAGUUUCCCCAUCUGAGUUGGAAGAGGUUGGACUAAAUGGCCUCGAUGAUCGGCGAAUGUUUUAGGAUUCCAAGGCCGCCAGCAUAGGGUUGCUGUUCUUGGCAUACUCUGGACAGCUUAGGUGCCAGAGAAACCCACCCACGGUCCUCAGCCAGCAUAGGGUUGCUGUUCUUGGCAUACUCUGGACAGCUUAGGUGCCAGAGAAACCCACCACGGUCCUCAGCCAGACCUUCAACCACUGGUUCACCUCCCCUCGAAUCACCUCCCCCUGCUCACGCCCCCCCACCCCCUCCACUCCAAUGUGAGUCACCCAGCUGGGGAUGAACGUGCCCUGUGGCCAUGUCCUCCUCCAUCCAUGGGCCCAGAUGGCCCACGCUUUAAGGUCUCUUAUUGAUUCUUGCAUGAUCUCUGAUCAACUAGUUUGGAUUCCCAUUGCUUUUUCUCUAUUGAUCACCUGGGUUAUAGAAGCUCAAAUGACCACUUGAUCCUGCUUCUCCUGUGAUCCAUCCCUUCACAUACUACACCUGCAGAAAAAGAGAUACCGAACCAACACAGCUACACACUCGUAACCCCGAGACGAACCCUAAAUAUCAGGGGCCCCCAAAUAAUAAACCCUUGGAUACUUCCCUUAAUCCUGGACGCUCCCUAAGAAAGACAAUUUUAUCCUUGAUUUUUGCUGUCUCAGAGGAUGCCUUCGUGAUUGUGAACCUCAUGUGAGGAAGUUGCUGUUUUCAUGCCACGAGCAGACGAAUGCAAACCCGGUGAGCUUGGUGACGUGGCAGUUGUUUUUCUUUAAGUAAUUGCUGUGCUUUGUGUUUGGGGAGCCCAUCCUUCCGAAGCUUGACUCCCUAGCGCUCUGCAAGUAAAAUGUUCUUUUCUUCUCU